UACGUAGGGUGCAAGCGUUAAUCGGAAUUACUGGGCGUAAAGCGUGCGCAGGCGGUUUUGUAAGUCUGUCGUGAAAUCCCCGGGCUCAACCUGGGAAUUGCGAUGGAGACUGCAAGGCUAGAAUCUGGCAGAGGGGGGUAGAAUUCCACGUGUAGCAGUGAAAUGCGUAGAGAUGUGGAGGAACACCGAUGGCGAAGGCAGCCCCCUGGGCCAACACUGACGCUCAUGCACGAAAGCGUGGGGAGCAAACAGG
rnacentral:rRNA from 1 species